UCUUUCUGUUUUCCGAUCUAAUAUUAAUAUUUUAACCAGAAUGGUCUCUCCCGUAAGUCUAUGAUGAAAUACACAGUAUCCCGUGGUUAAAUCUUCAAACAUAUUUAGUUUACAUGUUAUCGAGACAACAGACAAUACCACGUUAUAAUUGACCCAGAUACACACAGUGUACAGUGGUCGUUUUAAAACAAAUAUAAUUGCGUCGUCAAGGGCCAUCAAGGGACCAUAUCAAAGACGUAGAUAACAACCUGUUAAGACCUGUAUAAAUGACAGAAAACUUACGAGACGUUCCGAGAAUUUUAUUCUGACUUCCGGCCGAGAGAUAUCGAGUGGCCCAUAGACACAUCCAAAACUCGCCAAUAUAUAAGCAU
rnacentral:lncRNA from 1 species